rnacentral:piRNA from 1 species
GAAAAGGGGGAAACGCUGAGGCU